CCUACGGGAGGCAGCAGUGGGGAAUUUUCCGCAAUGGGCGAAAGCCUGACGGAGCAAUACCGCGUGAGGGAGGAAGGCUCUUGGGUCGUAAACCUCUUUUCUCAGGGAAGAAGAAAGUGACGGUACCUGAGGAAUAAGCAUCGGCUAACUCCGUGCCAGCAGCCGCGGUAAUACGGAGGAUGCAAGCGUUAUCCGGAAUGAUUGGGCGUAAAGGGUCCGCAGGUGGCUGUGUAAGUCUGCUGUUAAAGAGUCAUGCUUAACAUGAUAAGAGCAGUGGAAACUACAUAGCUAGAGUACGUUCGGGGCAGAGGGAAUUCCUGGUGUAGCGGUGAAAUGCGUAGAUAUCAGGAAGAACACCGGUGGCGAAAGCGCUCUGCUAGGCCGUAACUGACACUGAGGGACGAAAGCUAGGGGAGCGAAUGGGAUUAGAUACCCCAGUAGUCCUAGCCGUAAACGAUGGAUACUAGGCGUGGCUUGUAUCGACCCGAGCCGUGCCGUAGCUAACGCGUUAAGUACUCCCGCCGUGGGGAGUACGCACGCAAGUGAGAAACUCAAAGGAUUAGACGGCNGAGACGNGCGACGACGACGACGAGGGAGAGG
rnacentral:rRNA from 1 species